rnacentral:rRNA from 1 species
AUUGAACGCUGGCGGCAUGAUUUACACAUGCAAGUCGGACGAGUGGCGAACGGGAGAGUAACGCAUCGGAACGUACCGAGUAAUGGGGGAUAACUGUCCGAAAGGACAGAAAAUACCGCAUAUUAUUCGAGCGGCCGCUGUCUGAUUAGCUGUUUGGCGGGUGAAAGGCCCACCAAGGCGACAAUAAGUAGCGGGUCUGAGAGGAUGAUCCGCCACACUGGGACUUAGACACGUCCCAGACGCCUACGGGAGGCAGCAGUGGGGAAUUUUGGCAAAUGGGCGCAAUCCUGAUCCAGCCAUGCCGCGUGUCUGAAGAAGGCCUGCGGGUUGUAAAGGACUUUUGUCAGGGAAGCGGUACCUGAAGAAUAAGCACCGGCUAACUACGUGCCAGCAGCCGCGGUAAUUC